AUUGAACGCUAGCAGCAUGCUUAACACAUGCAAGUCGAACGGCAGCGCGAGGAGCUUGCUCCUUGGCGGCGAGUGGCGGACGGGUGAGUAACGCGUAGGAAUCUACCUAGUAGUGGGGGAUAACCCGGGGAAACUCGGGCUAAUACCGCAUAAUCUUUACGAAGCAAAGUGGGGGACUUUCGAGCCUCAUGCUAUUAGAUGAGCCUGCGUUGGAUUAGCUUGUUGGUGGGGUAAAGGCCUACCAAGGCGACGAUCCAUAGCUGGUCUGAGAGGAUGAUCAGCCACACUGGGACUGAGACACGGCCCAGACUCCUACGGGAGGCAGCAGUGGGGAAUAUUGGACAAUGGGGGCAACCCUGAUCCAGCAAUGCUGCGUGUGUGAAGAAGGCCUUCGGGUUGUAAAGCACUUUCAGCGGGGAAGAAAGGCCAAAGGUGAAUAUCCUUUGGAGUUGACGUUACCCGCAGAAGAAGCACUGGCUAACUCUGUGCCAGCCGCCGCCGUAAAAC
rnacentral:rRNA from 1 species